CGCCUCUUUGAUAACCAUAAGAGGUCCAGCCUGCCCAGUGACAAGAUUUAACGGCCACGGUACCCUAACCGUGCAAAGGUAGCAUAAUCACUUGUUCUUUAAAUGAGGACUAGUAUCAACGGCAUCACGAGGAUCCUACUGUCUCCCCCCUCUAAUCAGUGAAACUGAUCUCCCCGUGAAGAAGCGGGGAUAUACAUAUAAGACGAGAAGACCCCAUGGAGCUUUAAACCUGACAGCACCCGCUCAUUCUAUACCCCAUUAUUUGCCCGACCCCUGUCUGCUCAGUUUUAGGUUGGGGUGACCACGGAGUAUAAAAUAACCUCCAUGAAGAAGGGGAUAUUUCCCUUAUUAGAGAACCACACUUCCAAGAACUAAUAAAUUAAUUUUCAAUGACCCGAUACCUGAUAAUCGAUCAACGAACCAAGUUACCCUGGGGAUAACAGCGCAAUCCACCCUGAAAGCCCUUAUUAACAGGUGGGUUUACGACCUCGAUGUUGGAUCAGGGUAUCCCAGUGGUGCAGCAGCUACUGAGGGUUCGUUUGUUCAACGAUUAAAACCC
rnacentral:rRNA from 1 species